GAUGAACGCUAGCGGCAGGCCUAAUACAUGCAAGUCGAACGGUGUCUUCGGACAUAGUGGCGCACGGGUGCGUAACACGUAUGCAACCUACCUUACAUUGGGGGAUAGCCUUUCGAAAGGGAGAUUAAUACCGCAUAAGACAGUAGCUGGGCAUCCAGCAGCUGUUAAAGGUUUAUCGAUGUAAGCUGGGCAUGCGUCCAAUUAGCUAGUUGGUGAGGUAACGGCUCACCAAGGCGAUGAUUGGUAGGGGAACUGAGAGGUCAAUCCCCCACACUGGCACUGGGAUACGGGCCAGACUCCUACGGGAGGCAGCAGUAGGGAAUAUUGGGCAAUGGACGCAAGUCUGACCCAGCCAUGCCGCGUGCAGGAUGAAGGCGUUAUGCGUUGUAAACUGCUUUUAUACAGGAAGAAACGACUCUUGCGAGAGGCAUUGACGGUACUGUAUGAAUAAGCACCGGCUAACUCCGUGCCAGCAGCCGCCGUAAUAC
rnacentral:rRNA from 1 species